rnacentral:rRNA from 1 species
UGGGGAAUAUUGGACAAUGGGCGCAAGCCUGAUCCAGCCAUGCCGCGUGAGUGAUGAAGGCCUUAGGGUUGUAAAGCUCUUUCGCCAGGGACGAUAAUGACGGUACCUGGAUAAGAAGCCCCGGCUAACUUCGUGCCAGCAGCCGCGGUAAUACGAAGGGGGCUAGCGUUGUUCGGAAUCACUGGGCGUAAAGCGCAUGUAGGCGGAUCGCUAAGUCAGGGGUGAAAUCCCGAGGCUCAACCUCGGAACUGCCUUUGAUACUGGCGAUCUUGAGUCCGGGAGAGGUGAGUGGAACUCCGAGUGUAGAGGUGAAAUUCGUAGAUAUUCGGAAGAACACCAGUGGCGAAGGCGGCUCACUGGCCCGGUACUGACGCUGAGAUGCGAAAGCGUGGGGAGCAAACAGGAUUAGAUACCCUGGUAGUCCACGCUGUAAACGAUGGAUGCUAGCCGUCAGCCAGCAUGCUGGUUGGUGGCGCAGCUAACGCA